UACGUAGGUGGCGAGCGUUAUCCGGAAUGAUUGGGCGUAAAGGGUGCGCAGGCGGUCCUGCAAGUCUGGAGUGAAACGUAUGAGCUCAACUCAUGCAUGGCUCUGGAAACUGGAGGACUGGAGAGCAGGAGAGGGCGGUGGAACUCCAUGUGUAGCGGUGGAAUGCGCAGAUAUUAGGAGGAACACCGGUGGCGAAGGCGAAUUGCUGGACUGUAACUGACACUGAGGCACGAAAGCGUGGGGAGCAAACAGG
rnacentral:rRNA from 1 species